UCAAAGGCUUUCUUAAAAGCCAUUGAAAAAAUCAAUACUAAACCAG
rfam:Balneola sp. EhC07 strain EhC08 A6_Contig8, whole genome shotgun sequence.